CCUUUUCACCCUGUGCGUUCAGAGCAGCAGUUAUUGUGGCCCAUUCUGCUCCCGGUGAGAUUUCUACAGGAACCAGAAGAUGAGGCAACCCUCGAGGAAGAUGAGAGCCAGGACUACCGACUACUGUCAGUGACAGAGAAUGAGACCUCCACCACCAUGUGGUUCAAAUGCCACCUCUGGACAUGUGACCCAAAUGACCUGAAUAUCACGUUUGCUGUUCCAGUUAAGAAACCAAGUAUGCUUGUACUUUUAUCCCCCUGCCCAUGGCCAAGCAGAAACACCAUGUCUACAAG